UACGGGGGGGGCAAGCGUUGUUCGGAAUUACUGGGCGUAAAGCGUGCGCAGGCGGCUAUGCAAGGCAGAUGUGAAAUCCCCGGGCUCAACCUGGGAACUGCAUUUGUGACUGCAUGGCUAGAGUACGGUAGAGGGGGAUGGAAUUCCGCGUGUAGCAGUGAAAUGCGUAGAUAUGCGGAGGAACACCGAUGGCGAAGGCAAUCCCCUGGACCUGUACUGACGCUCAUGCACGAAAGCGUGGGGAGCAAACAGG
rnacentral:rRNA from 1 species